UAGCCCCGGCGAGACAGACGCCUGGAGACAGGUGGAGAGGCCGGUGGGGCUGGGCAGGCGCUGCUAUCUGCGGGAGCCCGGACUUGUACA
rnacentral:sRNA from 1 species